rnacentral:rRNA from 1 species
GACAGGGGGCUCGAGCGUUAAUCGGAAUCAUUGGGCUUACAGGGUGCGUAGGCGGGUUGCUAAGUGUUCUGUGACAUCCCCCGGCUCAACCGGGGAAUCGCAGGGCAUACUGGCAGCCUUGAGGCAUGUAAGGGCGGACGGAACUGUAGGUGGAGCGGUGAAAUGCGUAGAUAUCUACAGGAACGCCGAUGGUGAAGACGGUCCGCUGGGCAUGUCCUGACGCUGAGGCACGAAAGCGUGGGGAGCAAACAGG